rnacentral:rRNA from 1 species
CUAGUGGCGAACGGGUGAGUAACGCGUGAGUAACCUGCCCUGGAGUGGGGGACAACAGUUGGAAACGACUGCUAAUACCGCAUAAGCCCACGGCCCGGCAUCGGGCUGAGGGAAAAGGAUUUAUUCGCUUCAGGAUGGACUCGCGUCCAAUUAGCUAGUUGGUGAGGUAACGGCCCACCAAGGCGACGAUUGGUAGCCGGACUGAGAGGUUGAACGGCCACAUUGGGACUGAGACACGGCCCAG